rnacentral:rRNA from 1 species
UUAUGGCUCAGGACGAACGCUGGCGGCGUGCCUAAUACAUGCAAGUCGAACGGUCUUUCUAUGGAAGCUUGCUCCACUGAGAAGAUAGUGGCGAACGGGUGAGUAACACGUGGGUAACCUGCCCAUAAGAGGGGGGAUAACAUCCGGAAACGGGUGCUAAUACCGCAUAGUUUUCUUGAUCGCAUGAUCGGGAAAGGAAAGACGGCCUUUGUGCUGUCGCUUAUGGAUGGACCCGCGGCGUAUUAGUUAGUUGGUGAGGUAACGGCUCACCAAGACGAUGAUACGUAGCCGACCUGAGAGGGUGAUCGGCCACAUUGGGACUGAGACACGGCCCAAACUCCUACGGGAGGCAGCAGUAGGGAAUCUUCCGCAAUGGACGAAAGUCUGACGGAGCAACGCCGCGUGAGUGAAGAAAGGUUUUCGGAUCGUAAAACUCUGUUGUCAGAGAAGAACAAGUUGGAGAGUAACUGCUCCAGCCUUGACGGUAUCUGACCAGAAAGCCACGGCUAACUACGUGCCAGCCGCAGC